UUCAUGACUGGGGUGAAGUCGUAACAAGGUAGCCCUAGGGGAACCUGGGGCUGGAUCACCUCCUUAAACGAUAGAU
rnacentral:rRNA from 1 species